GCCUACGGGGGGCAGCAGUAGGGAAUUUUCGUCAAUGGGCGCAAGCCUGAACGAGCAAUGCCGCGUGAACGAGGAAGGUCUUCGGAUCGUAAAGUUCUGUUGAAGGGGAAAAAGAGCGGAGAGAGGAAAUGGUCUCCGAUUGAUAUUACCCUUCGAGGAAGUCACGGCUAACUACGUGCCAGCAGCCGCGGUAAUACGUAGGUGGCGAGCGUUAUCCGGAAUGAUUGGGCGUAAAGGGUGCGUAGGCGGCCUGCUAAGUCUGGAGUGAAAGGUACCGGCUCAACCGGUACAGGCUAUGUAAACUG
rnacentral:rRNA from 1 species